UCAAGUCCUGCCCCUCCUG
rnacentral:tRNA from 1 species